UUCAAAUCGGGGGCAUUGGGGCUGAGCCCGAAGCAGGAGGGCAGCAAGGGUCCUGACAUUGUGGACUUGGCCAGGGAGGGGCCAGUCCCUCUCAGCCACCCACAGCUACCUGUCCCGAGAGUGUGAGGAUUCGGGUCUUUGGUGGGCUCUGGGGAAGGGGCUGCAAGGAAGCGGGCCCAGAACCUGGUGCUGAGGCCCAGGACCCAUGCAGGGACGUGGGGCAGGACAGAGAGGGGCAGGGCAGGGGCAGGGACAGGGGCAGGGAUGCGGGAUAGGACAGGGGUACGGACAGGGAUGGGGCAGGGACGCAGGGCAGGACAGGGGCAGGGACGGGGCGGGACACGGGACAGGACAGGCGCAGGGGCAGGGCAGGGAUGCAGGGCAGGACAGGGAUGAGGGCAGGGACGUGGGGCAGGGACAGGGACGUGGGGCAGGGACAGGGACAUGGGGCAAGACAGGGACGGGGCAGGGACGUGGGGCAGGGCAGGGAGAGGGGCAGGGACGUGGGGCAGGACAGAGAGGGGCAGGGCAGGGGCAGGGACAGGGGCAGGGACACGGACAGGGCAGGGAUGCGGGGCAAGACAGGGAGGGGGCAGGGAUACGAGGCAGGACAAGGAGGGGGCAGGGACUCAGGGCAGGACAGGGCAGGGGCAGAGGCAGGACAGGGACGGUGCAGCCUCCGCUGCUGCCCUCUCGGGGAGCCUGGCUCCCACCCUCACCCAGCCACUGCUCCUGGGCACAGAGCUGAAGGGGAACUGGAGGCUGCGGCGUUCCUCUCUCCGUUCCCCUCUCUCUGGUGACUCGUGAUAACGAACCGACCUUUUGGAGACAUUCUGUGCCCUCAACAAAAGCGGCCCCUGUCUGGAAACCCCCCCGAGGGAGACUGACUUCCUCCCCUGCUGCCUGGGCUGCGGUAGCUCUUCCGGCACCUGCUCUUCAGGCACCUGCCCUGUGCUGGCCCCUCCUGCAACAAUCGGGUAAGGGGACCCAGGACCACAGGGAGGCUCCAGGGAGCCCCGUGGGUGCCUCCAGCAGCCGUCGGGGGUCUCUGUCCCUCACACCUCAUCUGUGAGGGUCCCUUGGCAAGGCAGCCCCUCCCGCUUGCCCAGGGUGGCAGGCCGGCUGCCCGCAUGCAGAGGCUGCUGGGAGGGUCCCCUCAUGCUCUCCCCUCCCCGUCCCCUGCCUACCCAGCCAGGGCUCUCGCUCCCAGCAGCCAACGGUACAGCCCGCCUCGGUCUCUGGGGUGCUAGAUACACUCUGCCUGGAGCCCAGGUACUGGAACCUCUGUGCCUGGGCCAUGGGGGGCAGGUUAAGGGAGGCCCUGCCCCUGGAGCGCAGGUACUGGAACCUCUGUGCCAGGGCCAUAGGGGGUGGGUUAAGGGAGGCCCUGCCCUGCCCCUCACCUGUCCCCUCAUCUGCACAUCCCUCCUUCGUGUCACCUGCACAGGAGCCCUCACCUCAGUCGGCGCUGCAGAACCAGCCCAGGAGAGCAGCUGGCCUGUCAUCUGCUGAGGAGCGGAGGCGUGCGGGGAUCCGGAGGGGAAGGGGGUCUGGAGUGCUCCGGGGGAGACCCUCAGGGACUGCCCUGCUGCUGGCAGCGCCUGGGCCCACGGCUGAUGGAGGCGUCUCCUGGCCCCCAGGGCUGUGCCCAGGACUGCAAUGGCCUCCCACACUACCUCACUACCCUGGUCCAGGCUCACUGACAGAUGAGGAAACUGAGGCAGGGGCCCCGGUCUCACGGCCAUUGGUGCAGAGCUGGGAUCCACGACCAGAUUCUACCAAUUAAAAAAAGGAAAUGUGGGCCGGGCGUGGUGGCUCAUGCCUGUGAUCCCAGCACUUUGGGAGGCCGAGGCAGGUGGAUCACCCAAGGUCAGGAGUUCAAGAGCAGCCUGGCCAACAGGGUGAAAUCCCAUCUCUCCUAAAAAAACAAAACAAAACAAAACAAAACAAAACAAAAACAGAAUUAGCCGGGCAUGGUGGUGGGCACCUGUAGUCCCAGCUACUGGGGAGGCUGAGGCAGAAGAAUCACAUAAACCCAGGAGGCCGGAGGUUCCAACGAACUAGGAUCGCACCACUGCACUCCAGCCUGGGCAACAAAGUGAGACUCUGUCUCAAAAAAAAAAAAAAAAAGAAAAAAAAAGGAAAAGAGAAAGAAAAAGAAAAAAAGUGACAAUUCACAUAGACCCCUGAAAACCUCUGGGCUUAGGGACAGCAAGAGCCUUCCUGGGGCCUCCUGGACCAUGUCAGGGCCUCCGAGGCCUCUGGGACGCCAUCCCUGCUCAGCUUCCUCACUCUCCUUUUGCCCGAGAACAAGCUCUGUUCUGGCCACGGCGUUGUCUACACAACACAGCUAACUGCUUUGCCAUCAGCCCUCAUACAGAUUUAAAACACACACACACACACACACAAAAGAUAAGGUUAUGGGCUGCACUGCGUCCCCCAAAUUCACAGAGUGAAGUCCCGACUUCAGGAUCCGCCUGUAUUCAGACACAGGGUCUUUACAGAGGCGACAAAGGUGAAACAAGGUUACCAGGGUGGGCUCUGACCUGACCUACCGGCGUCCUUAAAAGAGGAGGACACAGACACGCAGGAGGGGCGGCCACGCAAGGACACAGGGAGGUGGUGCCGCCUGCCUGCAAGGAGAGGCCUCGUAACAGCCACGCCGCACCUCAACCCGGGACGCCCCCAGGACUGGAGAGAACCCACAUCUGCUGUGGGAGCACCUGGCCACGGUGUGUGCGAGGCGGCCCCGGCAAACUCACGUAGACAGGACCCAGCUCCCCCAGGCCAUCUUUCAAUGGGAGAGGGUGACCCAGUGUUUUCCCAAAACCCAGCACGGUCCCCAGGACGCGUUCCCCACCAGGGUGGGCUGGGCCGGAUCACAGCCCAGGCUCCCAGAGACUUCCGGUGCCACAUCAGCUCACAGAGCUUCCUGUUUCAGCCCAGAUCAGAAACACCAUGAGACGCCCAAGGAGGAAUAUUUUAAUACUUCUGCUAUUGGCCUCACCCAAAACCAGAAAGUGCAGGGAGUCGUGAAAAUGAAGAAAAUGAUCAGAACCUGAGGGACCAGGCCGUGCCAUCCGAAGACAAUCCUGAGAUCUCUCUCCGGGCCCUGCCCUGCCCCUCCCUCUCUGCCCCCAGCAGGAGCCCCCUUUUCCCCUGGGGCCAAGAACCCAGGCCACACAGGGUGCAGAAGACCCGCCAGGGAGGCCACAGCAGGGGACAGAAAAGAAGGCCCGUCGCUGGCAUGAGGGGUGGCUUCCAUGUGGGGAAACUGAGUCAGUAGCAAUUCCAGAUUGGAGGUCCUAACCAGGUCAGGUAUGCGGGCACCGCACCGUCAGCCAAGACCACAGCCCCACCUCCUCAACAGCUGGGCCCACGCCAUCGGGGGGGCGUUCCAAGAGACUUAAAAAAACCAUAACCCAACCCCGAGGAGGUGCCCUCUGAGGUGGGGUGUCCCAUACUAGAGUCAGGGUGACCUGAGGACAGGCCAGGCACACAGGGCCACCCUGAGUAAAGACGGGGGACCCAGGAGGGCCUGGGACUAGCCAGGAUGGUGGCUGCUGUGUUGAGAGGGCAUCUGGGACCCCAACCCGCAGCCCCUCGUCUCCUUAUGAGCCAUGGGGCCUCAGGAAAUGCACCCCAUUUCGUGCCUCAGUUUCCCUCCUGGGCUGAACUGUGUCCCCCACAGCCAUGUGUUGAGGUCCUGACCCCAGACCUGUGAGUGUGACCUUAUUUGGAGGCAGGGUCUGCACAGAGGUAACGAGGUUAAAGCAAGGUCAGCUGGGUGGGCCCUGACCCACCCAGACACACAGAGAGAGAACAGGCCACAUGACACGGGGCCGAGGCCGUGGCAGUGCUUCCGCCAGCCAAGAAGCACGGAAGACCUCAGGCCACAAAGCCAGGAGCGGCCUGGGACAGACCCCACUCACGGCCUCGGGGGCCAGCCCUGCUCACACCUUGACCUUGGACUUCUGGCACCAUAACUGUGGGAGGGUGAAUCUCUGGUGGUUUGGGGGCGUGGGGUGAAUCUCUGCUGGUUUGGGGGCGUGGGGUGAAUCUCUGCUGGUUUGGGGGCGUGGGGUGAAUCUCUGCUGGUUUGGGGGCGUGGGGUGAAUCUCUG
rnacentral:lncRNA from 1 species